UCCAGACUCCUACGGGAGGCAGCAGUGGGGGAUAUUGCACAAUGGGGGGAACCCUGAUGCAGCGACGCCGCGUGGGUGAAGGAGCGUUUCGGCGCGUAAAGCCCUCUCGGCAGGGAAGAAGGAGGACGGUACCUGACUAAGAAGCCCCGGCUAACUACGUGCCAGCAGCCGCGGUAAUACGUAGGGGGCAAGCGUUAUCCGGAUUUACUGGGUGUAAAGGGGGCGCAGACGGCAGCGCAAGCCAGGAGUGAAAGCCCGGGGCCCAGCCCCGGGACUGCGCUUGGAACUGCGCGGCUGGAGUGCAGGAGGGGCAGGCGGAAUUCCUGGUGUAGCGGUGAAAUGCGUAGAGAUCAGGAGGAACACCGGUGGCGAAGGCGGCCUGCUGGACUGCGACUGACGUUGAGGCCCGAAAGCGUGGGGAGCAAACAGGAUUAGAUACCCCCGUAGA
rnacentral:rRNA from 1 species